GACGAACGCUGGCGGCGUGCUAAACACAUGCAAGUCGAACGGAAAGGCCCUGCUUUUGUGGGGUGCUCGAGUGGCGGACGGGUGAGUAACACGUGAGUAACCUGCCCUUGACUUUGGGAUAACUUCAGGAAACUGGGGCUAAUACCGGAUAGGAGCUCCUGCUGCAUGGUGGGGGUUGGAAAGUUUCGGCGGUUGGGGAUGGACUCGCGGCUUAUCAGCUUGUUGGUGGGGUAGUGGCUUACCAAGGCUUUGACGGGUAGCCGGCCUGAGAGGGUGACCGGCCACAUUGGGACUGAGAUACGGCCCAGACUCCUACGGGAGGCAGCAGUGGGGAAUAUUGCACAAUGGGCGGAAGCCUGAUGCAGCAACGCCGCGUGCGGGAUGACGGCCUUCGGGUUGUAAACCGCUUUCGCCUGUGACGAAGCGUGAGUGACGGUAAUGGGUAAAGAAGCACCGGCUAACUACGUG
rnacentral:rRNA from 1 species